AAUCAACGCUGGCGGCGUGCCUCAGACAUGCAAGUCGAACGCGAAAGUCCCCUUCGGGGGACAAGUAGAGUGGCGCACGGGUGAGUAACACGUAGGUAAUCUACCUUCGGAUGGGGAAUAACAACCGGAAACGGUUGCUAAUACCGCAUAAUGCAGCGGCACCUAAUGGUGACAGUUGUUAAAGCGGGGGAUCGAAAGACCUCGCGUCUGAAGAGGAGCCUGCGGCGGAUUAGCUAGNGGUAAGGUAAUGGCUUACCAAGGCGACGAUCCGUAGCCGGCCUGAGAGGGCGGUCGGCCACACUGACACUGACAUACGGGUCAGACUCCUACGGGAGGCAGCAGUCGGGAAUUUUGGGCAAUGGGCGAAAGCCUGACCCAGCAACGCCGCGUGAAGGAUGAAAUCCCUCGGGAUGUAAACUUCGCAAGAAC
rnacentral:rRNA from 1 species